rnacentral:misc_RNA from 1 species
GAUGAAGAACGCAGCGAAAUGCGAUAAGUAAUGUGAAUUGCAGAAUUCAGUGAAUCAUCGAAUCUUUGAACGCACAUUGCGCCCGCCAGUAUUCUGGCGGGCAUGCCUGUCUGAGCGUCAUUUCAACCCUCAUGCCCCUAGGGCGUGGUGUUGGGGAUCGGCCAAAGCCCGCGAGGGACGGCCGGCCCCUAAAUCUAGUGGCGGACCCGUCGUGGCCUCCUCUGCGAAGUAGUGAUAUUCCGCAUCGGAGAGCGAUGAGCCCCUGCCGUUAAACCCCCAACUUUCCAAGGUUAACCUCAGAUCAGGUAGGAAUACCCGCUGAACUUAAGCAUAUCAAUAAGCGGAGGA